CAAAACUAGGACUGCCGGACUCCAGGGCCAGGAGGGGCUGGGGGGCACUGUGGCGCAGUGUUCAGCAGGGAGGAGGAGAGGAGGCCUGGGGGCAGGGUAUGAAAGCCAUAAGACAACUCUAAAGGAGAAGCAGUAGAAGGGUUUCCCUGAGGACAAAAUGAAACGAAGCACGAAGACCCCUAGCAGAGCCCUGGGCAUGCAAGUUGAUACCCAGCCAAAGUCUCUGGCCUACAUCCUCUUCUGUCUGAGGCAGAGACGACCCAAGGUGGGAACUGCAUGGCAUAGAUGCCUCCAGUAGCAGCACUGAAUUCUUCACCUGUUUCAGGGAAGUCCAUGAACAUCCUGAGUCUGUAAAACAUUUCACAUAUGUGCAUUUCUUUGGAGAUAAGUCUGUUUACCCUGUUGCCCCAUAUAUUCCAAGAAGGUAGUGUCCAGCAAAGUACCUCAACCAUAGUAUAUGCUAAAUGGAUACCUAUUAAAUCAAUUUGAUAGAUUUCACCAAAUUCCUAUGCCCCACAUGGUUAGGAACUGUUGCUCCAUGGAUAAAUAAUCACUAGCAGUCCCCAUGUUUCACUUGCUCUGGCUAGACUUUCCUAUGGAAAGCUCUGACUGGCAAGACCCAAGACAUGCUACCACAGUUUUGCUGCAGGUCAAACCAGAGACCCAGCCCAAAGCUACCUUGAGAUUUCACUCUUCAGAGAUCUGUCACUAGAGCCAAGCACGUCAACAUCUAGAAACACAUUCCUCAGAGCAACCAUUUGUCACACCCCGUGCCUAACCCUCACAAACAGAGUCACUGCCUUCUCCCACCUUGUUUCUUGGAAGCAGUGCUAUGAACUGAAACAUGAGGAAGUGCUUACUUGUGACUCAUGAGAAGACCUUCUUCA